rnacentral:rRNA from 1 species
GACGAACGCUGGCGGCGUGCUUAACACAUGCAAGUCGAACGGAAAGGCCCUGCUCUUGUGGGGUGCUCGAGUGGCGAACGGGUGAGUAACACGUGAGUAACCUGCCCUUGACUUUGGGAUAACUUCAGGAAACUGGGGCUAAUACCGGAUAGGAGCUCCUGCUGCAUGGUGGGGGUUGGAAAGUUUCGGCGGUUGGGGAUGGACUCGCGGCUUAUCAGCUUGUUGGUGGGGUAGGGGCUUACCAAGGCUUUGACGGGUAGCCGGCCUGAGAGGGUGACCGGCCACAUUGGGACUGAGGUAGGGCCCAGACGCCUACGGGAGGCAGCAGUGGGGAAUAUUGCACAAUGGGCGGAAGCCUGAUGCGGCAGCGCCGCGUGCGGGAUGACGGCCUUCGGGUUGUAAACCGCUUUCGCCGGUGACGAAGCGUGAGUGACGGUAAUGGGUAAAGAAGCACCGGCUAACUACGUG